AUACGUAGGUGGCAAGCGUUGUCCGGAAUUAUUGGGCGUAAAGCGCGCGCAGGAGGUUCCUUAAGUCUGAUGUGAAAGCCCCCGGCUCAACCGGGGAGGGUCAUUGGAAACUGGGGAACUUGAGUGCAGAAGAGGAUAGUGGAAUUCCAAGUGUAGCGGUGAAAUGCGUAGAGAUUUGGAGGAACACCAGUGGCGAAGGCGACUGUCUGGUCUGUAACUGACACUGAGGCGCGAAAGCGUGGGGAGCAAACAGGAUUAGAUACCCUGGUAGUCCACGCCGUAAACGAUGAGUGCUAAGUGUUGGGGGGUUUCCGCCCCUCAGUGCUGCAGCUAACGCAUUAAGCACUCCGCCUGGGGAGUACGGUCGCAAGACUGAAACUCAAAGGAAUUGACGGGG
rnacentral:rRNA from 1 species